GGCACGAUCUAUGCGGAUUGGUAUAAGUCAUACGAUUCGAGUAAGCCAUGCAAAUAUCGUGGCAACGCACACUAAUCGCUCACUCGUAGUCAACCAAGCUGUCGUACAGUGACAACUUAGCUAAGGUGAGUGUAAGUCAAGCUAGAUGAUCGAUGCUGGCAUGCAUCCUCGUUUAAACCUCCGCAGCGCAAUGAGAGGAGUGCAGUUCAUCUCACUCAUUGUGCUGGGUAGCGCCCCCACACAUCUGACGGGAACGCGGGAUGUGAGUCCGAUACCCCAGAUAUGGAGUGAGACACAAUCCCCCAGCCCAUGGGGGGCGCCACAGGCGAAAACUCUUCAAAAUGCCCGAAAGGGACGGGAGAAUCCCAAGAGCGGCAGUUCUUAUGAUAGACGUUUUUUAACAACAGUAAGGAGCUUCCAGAAUAAGAGCUGGGCAAGAUUGGUGCCAGCCGCCGCGGUAACACCAGCGGCCCAAGUGGUGACCGCAAUUAUUGGGCCUAAAGCGUUCGUAGCCGGAUCAACAAAUCCCUGGUGAAAUCGCAAUGCUUAACGGUUGGGAGUGCAAGGAAGACUGUUGGUCUUGGGGCCGGGAGAGGUAAGAGGAACUCUUGGGGUAGGGGUGAAAUCCUAUAAUCCGAGGGGGACCACCAGUAGCGAAGGCGCCCGUCCAGAACGGGCCUGACAGUGAGGGGCGAAGCCUAAGGGAGUGAACGGGAUUAGAUACCCCGGUAAUCCUAGCCGUAAACCAUGCGGGCCAGGUGUCUAGGGUUCCUCGAGGGCGUUCAGUGCCGAAGGGAAACCGUUAAGCCAGCCACCUGGGAAGUACGGUCGCAAGGCUGAAACUUAAAGAAAUUGGCGGGGGGGCACCACAAAAGGUGGGACCUGCGGUUC
rnacentral:rRNA from 1 species